rnacentral:misc_RNA from 1 species
AAAGAAUGAUUAUUUGCUCCCGGAGCAGUCUCUCAUCGUUAGACCUCGCAGGGAAUGAAAUGAAAGUCUUCAAAAAAACCAUAUGAUGAUAGGAGUCCGUCCUAUCUUGGAUAGCAGAUUCUAGGUCCUAAGGAUAGAGGCUAGCCAGUUCCCAUUCAUCCAGUUCCCUUUUUGGAGGUUCAGUGCUAGGGGUUGAGCUUUACUUGAUAGAGUUGCCUUCCAUGCAUAGGAU